UGACCAGAAAAUAAGCGGCUUUUAAAAAAUGUUAGUUAAACUAUCGUACUUUUUUACAAUACAUAUUACGUAUAUUGUUAUAUGUCUAUGUCACUUAAAAUGUAAAUUUGUUCCCCAUUUCCAUGUAAUAUAUCUGUUUCUUAUAUCGUAUUUUUCAGGAUAAAAUGAUUAAAAUUGUAUCUCUAAUAAUAAUUAUCGUAGAUUUCUACAAUACGUUAUAUUUCUCUAAAUUAUGGGUUUCUUGAUAAAUCCGUAGAAAAUUGUGUAGUUUCCAUUUACCGAGUUUCCAAUCGAUGUCUACAGUUCUGGAGCUUACCGAUGUUUUUGUGCAUAUAAUAUAAUUCGAUGUAAAGUAAUUUAAUAUGACUUAUUCAUU